rnacentral:ncRNA from 1 species
UCAUCAUGGGAGCUGGGUAGUCCCGGCUGAGACGGAAUGGCAAAACAUUCUGAAACCAUCGAACCUGAUCCGGGUAAUGCCGGCGUAGGAAUCCGAC